GUGGAUUAGCUACCCUGGUAGUCCACGCCGUAAACGAUGUCGACUUGGAGGCUGUUUCCUUGAGAAGUGGCUUCCGGAGCUAACGCGUUAAGUCGACCGCCUGGGGAGUACGGCCGCAAGGUUAAAACUCAAAUGAAUUGACGGGGGCCCGCACAAGCGGUGGAGCAUGUGGUUUAAUUCGAUGCAACGCGAAGAACCUUACCUGGCCUUGACAUCCAGAGAACUUAGCAGAGAUGCUUCGGUGCCUUCGGGAACUCUGAGACAGGUGCUGCACGGUCGUCGUCAGCU
rnacentral:rRNA from 1 species